GAGAGAGGUGGGCACAGUGCCUAAAUUUAAUCUUUCAUGCAUACUCGAAGACUAUGAAGGAAAAAAAGGAACCUAAGGUAGCUUUCCUUCCUUUGUUGCUCCAGGAAACAACAUGAAAUCUCUCACGAUGGGCCACCCAUCAUACUGAAGUAAUAUACACAACUUGUUAAUCAAUUGGGAAUAUUACUUAGCCAGGUUUCCAGUUUUCUUUGAUAAAUUGGAGAUUUAACAACGCAGGAUUCUCUUCCUUGUGCGGAAACAUAAACUUGCCUACAUUAUUUACAUAUUUUCGUGCAUCGACGUGGACCUCAUUUAUAAUUUUCUUACAAAACAUCUUUUUAAAAGAACAGUACAGAGCCAAACAUCUUCCUGCGAUCCUACAGGGCAUUAUAUGGUCUCAGGUACUGGCUGCUGGUUUAUUAAAGGGUAGGAUUUCCAUUUACUCCAGGCAGGCUUAAUGUAUUGUUCUCAGAGUGAGACAGUCAGAAUGAGUCAGGAGCCAAAGAAUACACUUUAUAGACACAAAUAAUCGUAAAUUCAGAAUGUCACCUUUAGGCAGAGGCAUUUUUAUUAUUGUUAGUGGAGCUGCUGAGUAGGUUUGAUGUUUUAUUCUCUUGAGGACUCAAUGUUCCCAAGUCCUGGAGCCCUGUCUUUAUCAGGCUCACAAGGAGGGAGCCCAGCCAAACUUGCUUCCUAUACUUCUCUAUGAUUGAUAGCAGAUGGCAUGCUUUAAAAUAAACCUAUCCAUUAGCAGUCCUCAGUGUUUUUACUCAAGGCAUUUACAACUGUCUCAAGCAGAAAACACAUUCACUCCAUGAACUAGUUUCAGUCCAGAACAGCUGUACAGGUGCAAAUCUCUCAUUAACUCUUAAAGAGUGGUGAAAUAAACAAUGGCUUUUCUCUUACUUUAUCCAAGGCAGUACUUCAAAGCUGUUGUGUAAUUACUCUCCUCUACAAAAAAGGAGUUUUAUUAAGACUGAACUGUAUUAGAUAUGUACAUGCUUACCCUAGGAAUGUAUGUACCUGUGGGUGUUACAGUUUAAAGUGUCUGUCUAUGUACAUAGAAUUAGUGGUAAAUCACCAGUCUCUCAGGAGUGUUUCGAGAAGAGAGAAAGACAGAAAAACUUAGCCAGGCACCAUGGCAGCUCUCAAGUGCCUGGUUCUAUGCACCUGUAGUCAACAUGUCAUAAGAAAUAAUACUGGUGCUGAGCUGGUAUUGUGCUGAGCUGAUGAUGGUUGAUUUUAAGCAGCCAAUUGAAUUCCUUGCAUACUAGUAGUUAAACAAAGGCAAUCAUUUUUAAAGUGAAUUUUUGUCUGUAUUAAACAAGGAUAAGAGGGUUGGCCUAAGAAUUUUGAUUUGUAAGUGGGGAUAAAGGUGAGAGUUGUAGUUUAAAAUAAUAUUGUCAUUAAAACAAACAUACGUUAUCAGAACUUAAUGUAUAUCAAGUAUUAUUCUAGAAAUUUAUAAAAGUUAUUUAAUCUUUCCAGCUCUUGAAAACACUAUAAAUGACUCUAAGUUUAUGGAUAGGGAAACCAUUAUGCUUUGUUAUCUUUGUUCUAAUAAAAAAAAUGAAAACAACUCCAACAUGGAGUUAUUGAGAGCAAGGACGGAGAUUCAGUCUUGCAUCAGGGCUUUGUAUUUGUAUGUCCAUGUGCAUGAUAUUUGAUGACCCUUGUUAUACUUUUCUCAUUUCAUUUUUUAUAACCCUACUUUGGAUUAAUGUUGUUAAUACUCAAUAUGGCUGCUGUGAUAAUUGGAGAAAUUAAAGUAUGUAUCAAGCUUACAAGAAUAUCUGGUACUUAGAAAGUCCAUACAAGUUCUAACUAUGAUGCUAUCAUCAUCAUCAUUAGUAAAGGAAUUCAACUGUCACUGAACGCGAUUUAAAUUAGUCUUCUCUGUUUAUCUUUUAUGUCUGAAACUGUAUGGUUUGAAAAAUUUAAAUGUUCAACAAAAUACUUUAUUUUUAUUUCACAUUUUAUUAAUUAUAUUCAUAUAGUUGCCAAUCAAAGACUCUGACCAGCAUAGAAAAUAGGAGUUUUUAUGUGAACUUGAUAAGAUUUUGCCCCAAAGCCAGGUAAUUUGACACUGUAGCUUCAGCAGCAUUAUUAUGGGUAAUUGUUAUUCCCUUGGUCUUUCUGAAAUAACGAAACUGGUUAAUGGAUCUCCUCAUUACAACCUUCCAUGGGUCUCCUGGGCCCAUGCUGCCAUGAUAGGUGAACCUCAGCCAAAAUAUCUCUUCAGUGGGGCAGCUGGAAAGGCAAAGCAGUAAAAGUCAUAAAAUAUGCCCCAUGCAGUUUUCCAAAUGAUAUCUGUGUUGAAGGAGUUUAAGAAGUCUUACAUAACAGAGGUAUGCCACUGAUUUCUCAAGGAACAGCAUAGAUGGUUCUGAAAAGCAGAGUGUGAAAGUACAUACCCAGAACUUCCAUUAUGAUCCAUUUUCAUGAUCUUCACCAUGAAAAGACUUCCUAGAAACAAUCAUUUUCUUGUCUUUAUAAGUAUACUCAAGUAAAUUUUGAAUAGAUUUACCUGAAUACAAGGUGGAAAAUGUAAUUAAAUGAUAAGGAUAAAUUUAAGCAAAGCAAAUAUUUCAAACUGAAAUAUUUUAUAUUGAUACAGACAUGAGAUGUUGGUAUUAUUAGUUCUAUUUGCAGGAACUCCUUGUUUAUCACAAUCAUUUCAUUUGAAUUUCUGGAAGGUAGUCUUAUAACGAGUGUGGUUAUAGAAGGUAUAUCCUGAGCCAAUGGAUAUUUCAUACUUCCACCAUAAGCUUCCAAGGAGCAUGACUGGUAAUUUGAGAUUACUCAUGGGCAUUUUCCUUUGCAGUUUUAGAGGAAGUUGGUACUUUAAUGGCUUCGAUACACUUCACCACAAGUUUUAGUAUUACACUGAAUGAAAUUAAACUGGUUCAAUUUGUAAACUCUAUAAAUAGAAAGAAUGAAACCUAAAAGAAGGAUUUGCAAGAAAAGUACACUUGUAAGUGUCAAUGCCCUAGAGGGAAAAAACCCUAAAUUUUAGCAUGAGAUUAUUGUUUUUUUUUUCAGAAAGAUAAGAAAAAUUUAAAAAAAAAUUACAAAUAUAUUUAAGCAUCAAGAUUCUUCAGGUAGAAAGCUGAUUUAUCCCAUCUAAGAUAGUGUUACCGUUGAUGUGAACUGUGAGCUUCUGAGAUCUGUUAGCUACACAAUCUAUUUUAAUUUAUAAAUUCCCAUAUAAUCAGCAUUUGAAAUGCAAUGAUAAAAAGAAUGAGAAACUGAAUGCCAACAUACCUGCAAGAUACAACAGGAAACAAUUCAAUAUUUGCCUACCUUUUGGCACUGUAUUUUAUCUCUUUAAUCUGACAUAUAAUGUACAUUAAUCAGGCUCCAGUUUCCUAAUGCAAACCCAGAGUGUUGGAAAGCAUCAGAAAAUCAAGAAAGUAGUAACGAAAGGGCUCCUCCUCUGGCCAUCAGUUGAUCACAGAGUCUUCCCACUGAGCCAGGGUGAAGCUUCUGAAUGCCCAAUGCAGUGAAGUAGCCUCUUUUCUAUGGUAUUCAUUCCUCCAAGGGAAUUUAAAUUGGGACUUGACUAGUCCUGUUAGACCCUAAAUAGUCUCUAAAACCCAACUGUCCUGGAUCUGUAAUGCUUCUCACUUCACGACUGUGUCUGUGUUCACUAGGCAGAUGUGAUAUAUAGAAAACUAAAGAAUUUAUUUUUAUAAGCAUGUGAUAAAUGGUGGUGUGUUUGUAGUGCCCCUAAUCACUGUUCAUUUGAGAAUGCUUGCUAGUAGGCAAAUGUCAUGCUUCCAUACUUGUUCAUUUAUUUACUGUUAUGGUUUUAAAGCUGCUGGACCCACUGUUUUCUUUUGGUUAAUCACUUGGCUCCUUAGCCAAUGUAACCUUAAAAUACUUUCUUCUAGUUUACACCAACUCCAAAAAUUUUAUUGCCAAUGUUCUCUUCCAUAGCUAUU